CUGCCAGCUCUGUUGUAAGGGUUGGAAUGGGAGCUCAGUGGUGCAAGAUCUCUUGGCUGUCUCUAAUGGGUGAAUUAAACACCCUGGUGAACCAGAGGCACUUUAGUUUUACAAAGAGCAUCUGUGGUUUUUGCAGUUGCUCUGGUUCCUGGGAGUCAGUAUGUCUGCAGAGUGUGCUGUGCAUUCUUCUUCAGGUUUUUCACGUUGGCUCCGAGGGCUUUUUUCAAGCAGUUGGAAGUCCCUGAUUAGUACAGCACACCACUGUUGCUGAGGGGUUAAAGUAAGCAUAAAGGAACUUUUUCACUUUGACCAUCUUACUAUUUAAACUGAAGAAUGGACAAGACUUAAGCAUGGACAAAGUUAAAUACUUGGCAGGCACUUUAAAGGGAUGAGUCUCUGCUGGUAUGAUGCUAGAGAAAUAACCUUUCACAUGAAAGUGCCACAGAGGAGCAAACACAGAUAGCAGGGAAGCAAAAGGUAACAUCAGCUUUUUGUCUUAAAGAUUUUUAGUCUUUAAGCUGUUUUGAGACACUGAAUCUGUUUCCAUCUGAUUCCUAAUGAAGCUGUCAUUUACACAAACAUACUCUACAGUCUGAGAGAAUAGGUUCUGUGCAGUGUGAUUUACUUGACAUCAGAUACUUCUAUGUGGAACGAUUUGAGUAGGACCAGUUACAGUUAUUUUUCCUGUUAAUUCUGCAUCUAUCCACCCAUGUGUCCUUCCUUAUCACCUGUUCUUCAUUGAUCAUGCCCUAGUGAGCAGCUCUGAGAAGGUGCUUCUACCAAAGUGCAGAAGGACUUAACCAGAAUUCAGUGGUGGGUUUUUUGCCGAUGCAAGUGAGUACUGACAUGGUACUAUCAAAGAAGGUUUGCUGAGUUGUGGCUGCCUAGAACCUAAGUAGAUGGCUACCUUUUGAAAGUCAGAUGACUUUAUGAGGAGCUUGAUAGGUUUGAGAAAGCUGAUCUUGCUCAUCAAACUUUGUAUAACCUGGCCCAAAUACAAACCCUUACACACCUUACUGCUGUGUCUGACAAAGGAGCAGCCUGUCAAGGAGCGGAUUUUCAGAGUGGUGUAUUGCCAUGAGCUGACCGGGUGUGAAGCAGUGAGUUUACUCAGUGGGCCAGCAUUGCCAUGUCUAACAAUGCUGUGUCUUUUGAAUCUGUAAAAUGUGUAUUAAUACAUUUUGCACAAUGUCAGUUUUCUCCUACAGUGUAGGAUCGUUGUUGUUUUAACACUCAUACAGUGCAUCUGCAUGGCCUGCUCUUUGAAAUAGAGUCAGGAGUCAGACUUUUAUCUUUGGAUAAGACUAAAGUGUCAUGUAGUAAAAACGUACUAAGUUUGAGUAAUAAGAUUGUUCCUGUGAAACGUUGCCAAAGAUUUAAAAGAUAGGAAAUUCUGACAGAAACUUCUUCUGAGUAAUAAGUCUUCACUCAGCUUUUCAAGUACUGUAAUGUAAGUUGCAAGUUAAGGUGCAGGGCGUGAAACUGAAAGAUUUAAUAGGUAUGGUUUACAUUAAUAUAUAUUUAAGAUAGAAAUGUACUUUAGCAGGAGCUAAAUUAAACUGUAAAAUGUAUGUGAUUGGCUUAUGUUCCUAACAAGGAACAGAAAGCUGUUGUAUUUAUAUACUGUACAUGCACUUAUAUUUUGCAAUAGAAUAUUACUGUAGCAAAUAGCUGCACUAUAAGUAACUGAAUCAUUUUAUUGUCUCUAACUGUUCAUCCUCAAAUAUUGGGCAAGUUAAGAGGGUGGGUUUGCCUGAUGUUCUGUAACUCAAAUCUUCUGUAUCAAUAAAGACUAUGAUAAUACUA